NNNNAUUGUCCGUCUUAUAUGAAAUUUUUUUAUAAUUAGUAUUUUUAUUGUUGUUAGAUGAUAAAACAUGAUUAAUACUUUAUGCGUGACUUGUCUUUUUAAUUUUUUUCAUAUUUUUUUCAAAUAAGACAGACCGUCAAACGUUGGACACGAAAACCCAGGGUU
rnacentral:pre_miRNA from 1 species